rnacentral:rRNA from 1 species
GUGGGGAAUCUUGCGCAAUGGGCGAAAGCCUGACGCAGCCAUGCCGCGUGAAUGAUGAAGGUCUUAGGAUUGUAAAAUUCUUUCACCGGGGACGAUAAUGACGGUACCCGGAGAAGAAGCCCCGGCUAACUUCGUGCCAGCAGCCGCGGUAAUACGAAGGGGGCUAGCGUUGCUCGGAAUUACUGGGCGUAAAGGGCGCGUAGGCGGAUCGUUAAGUCAGGGGUGAAAUCCCAGAACUCAACUCUGGAACUGCCCUUGAUACUGGCGAUCUUGAGUGUGAGAGAGGUAUGUGGAACUCCGAGUGUAGAGGUGAAAUUCGUAGAUAUUCGGAAGAACACCAGUGGCGAAGGCGACAUACUGGCUCAUUACUGACGCUGAGGCGCGAAAGCGUGGGGAGCAAACAGGAUUAGAAACCCUUGUAGUCC